rnacentral:lncRNA from 1 species
UUUAACUCUGAACACCAUUGAUUACUUAACUCAAUGUAAGCAGUGAUAGAUUUGAAAAAUAAUCAGUUUUUUUAAGUAGUAAGUAGUUUCAUUUCUUAGGUAUUUUUUGUAGGUUCUCAUUACUCGGGUGAAACCGCAGAGACUAUCAGGUCCAUAUUAUUUAAUUGAAAAUCUGGCUGGUAAAUGCUUUAGCAAUGUGUUGAACAAUUAUAAAUACGAGUUUUGUCCAUUUGCAAAUGUUACACAGCGUGAACAAAGUUACAAAUGGAAUGCGUUUCGUGGUGU